rnacentral:lncRNA from 10 species
UGCUUACUCUUCCUGUGAUGAAGGCAAGUGUGUUCCUGGAGAGGUUACUGAAUCUGGAGCUGCUUUUAGGAGUUGCAGAUGGUGCAGGCCUCCCUCCCUCCUCAAGGAAGCCAAGGACACCAUCACAAUCAGGCAGCCAGGAGCCAGGGCGUCCAAAGGCCCAGCUGUGCACCUGUAGGGGUAAGGAAUCUGGUAAAAGUAUUCUGGAGUCGUUCUUGGAUAUCUGCUCAGUAUCUUCUCAAUAUCUUGACCAUCUGUGACAAUUUUAAUCCUCAUUUGAUCAUAUUUUAUG